rnacentral:rRNA from 1 species
AUUAAACGCUGGCGGCAUGCCUCACACAUGCAAGUCGAACGGCAGCACGGGGGCAACCCUGGUGGCGAGUGGCGGACGGGUGAGUAAAGCAUCGGAACGUAUCCUGGAGUGGGGGGAUAACGUAGCGAAAGUUACGCUAAUACCGCAUAUUCUGUGAGCAGGAAAGCAGGGGAUCGCAAGACCUUGCGCUCUGGGAGCGGCCGAUGUCGGAUUAGCUAGUUGGUGGGGUAAAGGCCUACCAAGGCGACGAUCCGUAGCGGGUCUGAGAGGAUGAUCCGCCACACUGGGACUGAGACACGGCCCAGACUCCUACGGGAGGCAGCAGUGGGGAAUUUUGGACAAUGGGCGCAAGCCUGAUCCAGCCAUGCCGCGUGAGUGAAGAAGGCCUUCGGGUUGGUAAAGUCUCUUUCGGUCGGGGAAGGAAAUUAG